rnacentral:rRNA from 1 species
CAGCCGCCGCGGGAAAACGUAGGGUGCGAGCGUUAAUCGGAAUUACUGGGCGUAAAGCGUGCGCAGGCGGUUCGUUAAGACAGACGUGAAAUCCCCGGGCUUAACCUGGGAACUGCAUUUGUGACUGGCGAGCUAGAGUAUGGCAGAGGGGGGUAGAAUUCCACGUGUAGCAGUGAAAUGCGUAGAGAUGUGGAGGAACACCGAUGGCGAAGGCAGCCCCCUGGGCCAAUACUGACGCUCAUGCACGAAAGCGUGGGGAGCAAACAGGAUUAGAUACCCGCGUAGUCCCUGUCUCUUAUAC